rnacentral:lncRNA from 10 species
CCCCGUUGCACUCUAGCCUGGGCAACACAGCAAGACUCUGUCUCAAAUAAAUAAAUAAAUAAAUAAAUAAAUAAAUAAAUAAAUAAAUAAAUAGAAAGGGAGAGUUGGAAGUAGAUCAAAGAGAAGAAAAGAAAUCCUAGAUUUCCUAUCUGAAGGCACCAUGAAGAUGAAGGCCACCUCUUCUGGGCCAGGUCCUCCCGUUGCAGGUGAACCGAGUUCUGGCCUCCAUUGGAGACCAAAGGAGAUGACUUUGGCCUGACUCCUAGUGAGGAAGCCAUGCCUAGUCCUGUUCUGUUUGGGCUUGAUCCUGUAGCACUUGAUU